AAUGCGUAUUGGUCACUAUCGAUUGAAUUUUCAUCUUCAUCGCAAAAAAAUUGUCUCCUCUCCUUUUUGUGACCAUUGUAAUAAGCAACAAGAUCAGUCUCUGGAUCACAUCUUUUUUGAUUGUUCGUCCUUUGGCAUACAGCGCCUUGUGCUGAUGGAUGAGCUACUGGAAAUAUAUGGUGCACCCAAUAUAAUCCCGCUCUCAGUAAUAGAUCUAUUAAAGGACACAUCAACUUAUAUGUCCUUGUAUAAAUUUGUAUGUAGUACUGUAAAUACAUUGUAAUUUGUAGAUACAUACGUUGUAAAUUUGUUUAUAAUUAUGUAAAUACGUUAUAACUCGUACAUAUACAACUAGUAAUAGCAUAGCGCAAUUCGCGAACUGAACAGAUAAUGUAAAUAGGUAGGUAUUAUUCUAAAAAGUUAUGCAAACUACACUGGAUUUGACUUUAAGAAAAGGGGAAAAUUAUUAGAGACUAUAUUACUGGAUUUGGACUUACUAAAAGGAAAAUAUGGAAAAUAUUCUUUAGAGAAUUAUACAUUAACGGAAAUGGUAAAAUAACUGAUGACUUUAAGACUGGAUUGGAUUUGAUGAAAGAAACUACUAUAAAUAUUCGCUAUCGAAUAUACAUAAUUGGAAAAGGAAAAUGGAAAUAAUGUAAGAUGAAAUGAGAAAACUGGAUUGGACUUUUUGUAAAACAAAAUAGUGAAAAUAAUAAAUACCAAAGAAAUGAAAAUACUAACGACAAGGCAGUAAGGCCCCUGGCUAUAGCCUGUUCGAAAGAACGAAUUAAUUUAAAAAAAAAAAAAAUUGCGGGCGGAAUUGUCAAUUGUGUGUCAAGUGGUUUGUUAUUGUUUUGUGCAUCAUAUAAAUUGUACGUAUGUACACAACGGCCAUUUUAUCGUUGAAAUAAGGGUCUGAGACUCAAAAUAAUUAUGGUGGUGGGCAAUGUACCAGCGGCGAAGCGUCGCAGUUUCAACCAUCAAGUAACGAUGAGGCUUCUCGAGGACGUGGUAGAGGAAGUGGCCGUGGGAGAAGACAAUUGGACUCAAAAGAUGAAAUUCUAAAGAAGAUUCAAUCUGAAAAAAAAAUUAUGCAGCGCCGAAUUGAUGCUUUACAGGCUGAGUCGCGUCAAGAGUUGAUGGCUCGUAAGCGGAAGUCUCAAUUGGAGCGCAUGCUUCUACCGGACGCACCCCCGCGUAAUCGGCGAACAAAAAAAGCAUCUCCCGAGCGGUCUCCUUGUUUGCUGAUGCGUCCUGCGGAAGCACAUACAUCGACGUCGGGUGUAACGCGAUCUAGUGAUAUUCAUUCUGCGGAACCAGAGCCAUCAACUUCUGGUAUUUCAUCUUCAGUCGUGGUUUCUGCAGAAAAUUGUUGGUUGGACGACGAGGAUAUUGGUGCUGAAGUUGUUAUUGGUAAGCCAGCAACUUCUGUGCCUUCAACAUCUGCACGGGAAGUUAGUUACAAUGACAAAAAUUUUGAUUCUGUGGUGGAGGAAUGGUUGCAGCUGACUAACUUAAGUGAUGACGAUGACGACUUUAGUACCAACUUACUUGACGACCCUGACUUCAUAACUAAUAGACGUAACGCCUUGACUGAACCCGCCUGUCUUAGUGACUUGAGCGCUUUCCAAGCGGAAGUUUUAUGGACUGAAGAUGAGAGAGAUGACCGGGCAAUACGCGACAUUGUACCAGACGACUGUUACUUGUUGGACUGGAACAAAGACAGACAGGUUUUUAAAGGACAACAAGAAGUGUUUACCGCGACAUACGGGCCCACUUUUCAGAUUACUGACCUGACUCGACCUAUUGACAUUUUUUAAAGAUGUUUGACGAUGACUUCUUAGACCUUUUGUGCAUUGAGACGAACAGGUACGCUGUGCAGAAGAUAGCUUUGUUGCGCGAGCAGAAUAAGUUAUCGACUCACUCACGACUUCAACGUUGGACUCCUACAAAUAGAGACGAAGUCAUUAGCUUUUUAGCAAUAAUAAUCUUGCAAGGCUUAUAUCCCUUACCAGAGGAAGAGGGCUAUUUUGGAUUUAAUGGUUUUGGCACUGUGGCAUUCAUUGGCAAAAUUAUGUCUUUCAAUAGAUUCUUAUUGCUAAAGUCAAUGCUUCAUUUUGUUGACAACGAGACUUUACAGGACACGACAAAAAUCUGUCAAAUACGGCCUGUUGUAGACUACUUUAACAAAAAGUUUUCCGGCUUGUACAUGCCUUCACAAGAGAUAGCUAUUGACGAAUCACUUCUCAAAUGGCACGGCCGACUGAGCUUUGCCCAAAAAAUUUCAUCAAAGGCUGCGAAAGUUGGGGUCAAAACCUAUGAGUUGUGUGAAUCUUCCAGUAGCUAUCUCUGGAAGUUCUUUGUGUAUACCGGAAAAGACACAUCUACAAAUACUGCUGACAACCACAUACAAAUUAACAAUGAGGAACUGACAAUUGACAGAGCUGGUGAUGACGAGACUAAUGAGAGGCCUGAAAGUGACAGAUCCACUGUUUUAACCGACAGAAUCGACAAACAAUAGACUGACCGUCCAACUAACGCUACUGCAAAAAUUGUAUACACUUUGAUCGAACCACUGCUUAACCGCGGACAUACAUUAGUGAUGGAUAAUUUUUAUAAUAGUCCAUUACUGUUGCGAUGUCUGAAGAAACAAAAGACUGACUGUUACGGGACAUUACGACUGAACAGAUAAUUUGUACCUGAGACAAUGAAGACACUUACUAAGACUGAUCUUCGACAUGGUGAAGCAGUGGCGUCGUACUGUUCUGAUUUGUCAGUUUUGGUAUGGCGAGAUGCUAACCUCGUUAGUAUGAUCUCGACAUUCCAUAACCUUCAAAUUGGUACUACUUACAAAUAUAACCGACUGACUUAUAAAGCCAGUGUUGUACUCGACUAUAACAAAACUAUGGGAGGAAUAGACAGAAAGGAUCUAUUUCUGUCUGCUCGACACGACUAAGAAAUAGAGUCUGGUACAAAAAACUCUUCCGCCGAUUGUACAGUUCUGCACUUUUUAACUGCUUUGUGAUAUUUUCUGGGGUAAACCAAAAAAUAUCACAUCGCAAGUUCAGGACUGUAUUGGCAGAAGAAUUACUACUACGACACCGACAAAUAGACUUGACGACUGAAUGCCGACUUUUUAGUGUUGGGAGACAUACUGGACAGGUUACACCGACGGCGCGACGUAAUAUACGACACAAGACGCAAUCUAGACCGACAGUUGACAGCAACCAUUUCCCAAUACGGACAGGAUCAAAAUACACAGUUUGCGUCAUGUGUCCAAAAAAGUCGAGGACUAUUUGGAAAUGUGAAGAUGUAAUGUAAUAAGUAAUGAUAUAACAGACUGGGAAUGAAGCUUUUUAAUUAUAAAUGUUUAUUGUACGAUAUUACAUUGUUAUCCAUAUUUAUAUAAAAAAAAAUAAAAAGCCUGCUGAGUUUCUUUCGCCCGUUCUACUCAGGUCUGAGGCAGUAUGUUUUGAAUGGGUCAUAGUUUUUAACGUUCAAUAAUUGAUUUUGAGUCCUAUUUUGAAUAAAAAUAUUCUAAUUUAAAUUUUAAACCACACAAAUUCCAACAGUGUUAACAUACAUCCUCUCGGUUUGAAAGAGACUAUUAUUAAAAUAGCUGUAUUCUUACAUAUUAUAUUCAUAUACACAUAUACGCAGAAGUGGAAAUUUCGUUAUUUUCUUCCCAGUUAUUUGAAGAGAUUUAUUUUAUUUUUGACUGAUUACUUCGACAUCGACUAAAAGACUUGACGACUGAAUGCAAACUGUAGAGUGCCACGAUAAGUACUGAAGACGUUUCAACUUUGGUUCCACUUGAGUUAUGACUGACAUAACCUUAGCCGAUAGUUGACAGCAACCACUUACUUCCCAAGUUUAGCUCGCGCUUUGUGUAAUGUGUAUAUGAAAAUUAUAUAAAUCCAACAAUAUUACAUACUGAGAAAUACUGAAUUUAAUAGCAUUCUUUUUGAAUUUGGUUAACAAGAAACGAAACAACGAAAGAGAUACAUAUAUACAUACAUUAUAUUAUAUGUAGAAAUGAAAUUAUGUGUAAGUAAAAUUAUAGAAUAUACGAAAUUUGUACAUUUCCAACAAUAUUAGAUAACUAAGAUUCUAUUUGAUAACUUUUUCUUUAACUAUAUUAUAAUUAUAAUUCUAUAAAUAAGUCUUUUUAAAUGUAAUAAAUAAAUUAUACUCAUUAAAA